UCUAUAUUUACUGACAGUGGUUGUUAGUUACUGUUUAUUGUAUUCACACAACUAUAUAUAUGUGUCUCACUUUACUUCAUUAGGCCAAAUCCAUUCCAUCUACUUGCUUAAUGCAAUUGGUAUGUUAUUUCUCUUGUCUCCAACAUUUUCUUAUUCUGUGUUAUUUCUCUUCUUUGCAUCUUUUUAGUUUCUAUCGUUGGUUUACUACAUUCAUCUUGUUGGUUUCUCCAUUUAUUGGUACUGUUUAUUCCAUUCUUCUUGUUGGUUUCUAAUUUAUCAUAUUCAUGAUAUUAUUUGAAAUUCAAGUUUCAAUGAAUGAAUUUCAUAACUCUGAGGCUGGACCCUAUUCUAUUUUUUGUUUUUUUGUACUUUAUAAUUAUGCUCUCACUUGCCUUCAAGUAUAAGGACAAACACAUUCCAUAUACUUCAUAAAUGCAAAUGGUAUGCCUUCUCCCUCUUUAUCCAACAUUUUUUUUUAUUACGGUUGUUGACUAGUGUACUAAUGUUGUUUAUUGUAAUUUGUUUUAGGGUUGGUCUUAUAUGAAUCAGUCGGAUCAAACACUGUUUACCAACUUUCUCUUGCUAAGAAUUGUCUGGGUGCAUUAGAUGACACGUACAUCAAGGUAUGCAACUGAUCGCACAAGGUAUAGGAUGAGGAAGGGUGAAAUUGCAAUAGAUGUACUCCAUGUGUGUGAUACAAAUGGCAACUUUGUGUUUAUUUUAUCAAGGUGGAAAGGAUCCACAACUGAUUCUCGAGUUCUCAGAGAUGCAAUAUCACAACUUAACGGACUGAAGGUUUCAAAGGGUAACAGGGUAUAUUAUCUAUGUGAUGCCGGAUACCUAAAUGCGGAAGGUUUUUUUUGGCUCCAUAUAGAGGCGAAAUAUAUCAUCUUUCAGAGUAGCGUGGAGGAGGUAAUGCACCAACAACUCCACGAGAAUUUUUUAAUAUGAAGCAUUAUUCUGAACGAAAUUUCAUCGAGAGAAUGUUCGGGUUGUUGAAGGGAAGAUGGGCAAUCUUGCAAGGAAAAUCAUACUACCCAGUGUAAAUCCAAUGUCAAACCAUCAUGGCGUGUUGCCUUCUACACAAUCUUAUCAAUAGGGAGAUGACUAACAGUGAACUAAUCGAGGAUUUGGAUGAGGUGGAUUCAAGCUUUGCUACAACUGGAGGGGAUGAGAUAAAUUAUAUUUAGAGUUCAAAUGAAUGGACCCAAUGGAGGAUGAACUGACGCAAUAGAUGUUUACUGAAUGGGAGUAGCAUGUAGUGCCUUUAUACUUUUUGUUUAUUGUUGUGAAAUGAUUUCAUUAGGAACUCUCUAAUUAUGUUUACUAUAUUUUGUGCUUAACUUUACCCAUGAACUCUCUCAUUAGCUUUGCUACAAUUACUUGUCAUUUAUUGUUUAAUUGUAUUAAAAUAUGUACGUGUAUAGACUAGAAUGUCAAAUUCCUCAAGAGCCCCGAAGCACACUUGGACUAAAGAGGAAAAAGCGAAGCUAAUCAAGUGUUUGGUGGCAUUGGUCGCAUCUGGUGGAUGGAGAUCAGACAAUCGAAUGUUUCGACCUGGCUACUUGGCACAACUACAAGGUUUGAUGACUGAGAAUUUGCCCGACUGUAAUAUUCAAGGAUCACUAACUAUAGAUUGUCGAAUCAAAUCCCUAAAAAAACUUACCAAGCGAUCGUAGGAAUGAGAGGACCAACUUGUAGUGGAUUUGGCUAGAAUGAGGAAUUCCAAUGCAUCACUACAAAGCAGGAGUUAUUUGAUGGAUGGGUGAAAGUACAAUUUUGUCUAAAUUGAUUUACGAAUAUUGGUAACAAAAUCAUAACAUCCACUUUACCCUUCAUGUAGAGUCAUCCUACAGCAAAGGGGCUUCUACACAAGUCGUUCCCAUACUAUGAUGAUCUGGCCUACGUCUUUGGCAAUGAUCGGGCUACGGGAGGACAAUCAGAGACCUUUAUGGAUGUCGGGUCUAAUGUGCCAAACCUUAUGAAUGAUGGAGUUCCUAUUCAUGAAUCACAGGAUCCAAACAUCCCCACGAUGUCUAAACAGGGAAUGGACAUGUCACAGGAUGACAUGCAUGGAACAUGUACCGGUCGAAGCACUGAAGGAGGAAAUACUUCAAGAGGAAGUAAGAGGAAGCGAAAUGGGAAUCAAUAUGAAACGAUAGAGAUUGUUAGGAAUGCAAUGGAGUUCACAAAUGACCAAUUGAAGGCGAUUGUAGAAUGACCGAAAGAGAAGCGUGCAACUAAAGCCGAACUACGUGCAGUCGUAAACCAACUUCAAGAUAUUCCUGAAUUGUAUAACCGACAAAAGGUAAAGCUUAUGCAAAUCAUAUUCCGCAACGUGCAAGAUACAGAUCUUCAUAUCCGUUCCCUGAAGUUGGAUUAUUGCAACCUCCUCCUUGAAGAGAAUUUUUUAUUUGGACUGCUUUUCAAUAA